GACAGGGUCCAGCCUGAACAUGGGUGUCCUGGCUCAGCUCUCCUGCCUGCUGCUGCUCUGGCCUCUAGCCGCCAGCGGUGACAUCACACUGACCCAGACUCCAGCUUUCCUGUCUGUGCCUGUGGGAGGGACGGUGUCCAUCUUUUGCAAAGCCGACCAGAGUGUCAGUGAUUAUGUAACUUGGUAUCAGCAGAAGCCAGGACAUGCUCCUAAGAUUCUCAUUUAUGAUGCCGAUAACCAGUAUCCCGGUGUGCCAGCUCGCUUCACUGGAGUUCAGUCUGGCACAGAAUUCACUCUCAAAAUUAGCGGUGUCCAGGCUGAAGACAAGGGUACUUAUUACUGCCAGCAAGACUAUACAUUCCCUCCCACAGUGGCACAGACCUGA